rnacentral:rRNA from 1 species
AGUUUUGAUCCUGGCUCAGGACGAACGCUGGCGGCGUGCUUAACACAUGCAAGUCGAACGAUGAACCACUUCGGUGGGGAUUAGUGGCGAACGGGUGAGUAACACGUGGGCAAUCUGCCCUGCACUCUGGGACAAGCCCUGGAAACGGGGUCUAAUACCGGAUACUGAACCUUGCAGGCAUCUGUGAGGGUCGAAAGCUCCGGCGGUGCAGGAUGAGCCCGCGGCCUAUCAGCUAGUUGGUGAGGUAAUGGCUCACCAAGGCGACGACGGGUAGCCGGCCUGAGAGGGCGACCGGCCACACUGGGACUGAGACACGGCCCAGACUCCUACGGGAGGCAGCAGUGGGGAAUAUUGCACAAUGGGCGAAAGCCUGAUGCAGCGACGCCGCGUGAGGGAUGACGGCCUUCGGGUUGUAAACCUCUUUCAGCAGGGAAGAAGCGAAAGUGACGGUACCUGCAGAAAGAAGCGCCGGCUAACUACGUGCCAGCAGCCGCGGUAAUACGUAGGGCGCAAGCGUUGUCCGGAAUUAUUGGGCGUAAAGAGCUCGUAGGCGGCUUGUCACGUCGGUUGUGAAAGCCCGGGGCUUAACCCCGGGUCUGCAGUCGAUACGGGCAGGCUAGAGUUCGGUAGGGGAGAUCGGAAUUCCUGGUGUAGCGGUGAAAUGCGCAGAUAUCAGGAGGAACACCGGUGGCGAAGGCGGAUCUCUGGGCCGAUACUGACGCUGAGGAGCGAAAGCGUGGGGAGCGAACAGGAUUAGAUACCCUGGUAGUCCACGCCGUAAACGGUGGGCACUAGGUGUGGGCAACAUUCCACGUUGUCCGUGCCGCAGCUAACGCAUAAGUGCCCC